GCAUGCUUACUCAUUACUGCAGGUGAGGGAGGUAGAUGGCCACAAGCUUGUUCAGAUUCGAAAUCCGUGGGCAAACGAAGUGGAGUGGAAUGGCCCUUGGUCUGAUUCAUCACUGGAAUGGACUGAUCGGAUGAAGCACAAGCUCAAGCAUGUUCCCCAGUCCAAGGAUGGGAUAUUCUGGAUGUCCUGGCAAGACUUCCAGAUUCACUUCCGGUCUAUAUAUGUCUGCCGAGUCUACCCACCUGAGAUGCGUUAUUUUGUACAUGGGCAAUGGCGUGGUUACAGUGCCGGUGGCUGCCAAGACUAUGACACAUGGCGCCAAAACCCUCAGUAUCGACUUAGAGCAACUAGUCCAGAGGCA